UGUUAAACUAGGAUUAGAUACCCUAUUAUCUAUGAUUAUAACUAUUAUUAACUGAUGACCAAAAAAAUAAAAAAAAAUUGACGGCUUUUUUAAAUUAUUAAAGGAAAUUAUUCUAUUAAGGAUCCAACCCCAAACCCUUACUCUAUUAAGUAAAUCAGCCUGUAUACCUCCAUAAAUUCAAUUAAUAAUUUUAUUAAAAAAAUCUUAAAAAGACUCCUAUUAGGUCAAGGUGCCGCUAAUAAUUGAGCAUGAAAUAAUUUAUAUUAAAUCUAAAUUUAACAAUUAAUUUUUUUAAAAUAAUAAUUAAAAGUAAAAUUUAAAAGUAAAUUUAAUAAACCCUGCUAAAUUGAAUUUAAUCUAAAAAGUGUACAUAUUGCCCGUCACUCUUUAUUAAUAAAGAUAAGUCGUAACAUAGUAA
rnacentral:rRNA from 1 species